AUAAUACUCCCUCCGUCUGGAUAUACUCGUCAUAGAAAUGGAUGAAUCUAGACUUAUUUUAGUUUUAGAUACAACCAUUUUUAUCAAUUUCUCCGACAAGUAUUUUGGGAUGGAGGGAGUAUAAA
rfam:Triticum aestivum genome assembly, contig: Triticum_aestivum_CS42_TGACv1_scaffold_223713_3B